rnacentral:misc_RNA from 1 species
GAUGAAGAACGCAGCGAAAUGCGAUACGUAAUGUGAAUUGCAGAAUUCAGUGAAUCAUCGAAUCUUUGAACGCACAUUGCGCCCGCCAGUAUUCUGGCGGGCAUGCCUGUUCGAGCGUCAUUACAACCCUCAGGCCCCCGGGCCUGGCGUUGGGGAUCGGCAGAAGCCCCCUGUGGGCACACGCCGUCCCUCAAAUACAGUGGCGGUCCCGCCGCAGCUUCCAUUGCGUAGUAGCUAACACCUCGCAACUGGAGAGCGGCGCGGCCAUGCCGUAAAACACCCAACUUCUGAAUGUUGACCUCGAAUCAGGUAGGAAUACCCGCUGAACUUAAGCAUAUCAAUAAGCGGAGGA